rnacentral:rRNA from 1 species
AACGACUCUCGGCAACGGAUAUCUCGGCUCUCGCAUCGAUGAAGAACGUAGCGAAAUGCGAUACUUGGUGUGAAUUGCAGAAUCCCGUGAACCAUCGAGUCUUUGAACGCAAGUUGCGCCCGAAGCCAUCCGGCCGAGGGCACGUCUGGCUGGGUGUCACACAAC